rnacentral:rRNA from 1 species
GAUGAACGCUGGCGGCGUGCCUAAUACAUGCAAGUCGAGCGAACAGACGAGGAGCUUGCUCCUCUGACGUUAGCGGCGGACGGGUGAGUAACACGUGGAUAACCCACCUAUAAGACUGGGAUAACUUCGGGAAACCGGAGCUAAUACCGGAUAAUAUAUUGAACAGCAUGGUUCAAUAGUGAAAGACGGUUUUGCUGUCACUUAUAGAUGGAUCCGCGCCGCAUUAGCUAGUUGGUAAGGUAACGGCUUACCAAGGCAACGAUGCGUAGCCGACCUGAGAGGGUGAUCGGCCACACUGGAACUGAGACACGGUCCAGACUCCUACGGGAGGCAGCAGUAGGGAAUCUUCCGCAAUGGGCGAAAGCCUGACGGAGCAACGCCGCGUGAGUGAUGAAGGUCUUCGGAUCGUAAAACUCUGUUAUUAGGGAAGAACAAAUGUGUAAGUAACUAUGCACGUCUUGACGGUACCUAAUCAGAAAGCCACGGCUAACUACGUG